rnacentral:lncRNA from 1 species
UUUUUUUGCGUUAGGUAUGCCGAUAAAAUUUAUUCAAAUGGCAAGCAAUUUUUUAUAUACAUAUAUUGUGUGCAUAAGUUAUUGUGUAUGUAAAACCUAGGGAUACAACUUAUGACUACUUUGUUCAUAUGUUAUUUACAUGGAAAAUUCCAAAUGACAGGUGACGCUGCUUAUACCCAGGGUCGAUCACGAAUUAGGAUCAGUGUUUUGUACGAAAGAGGAAGAUGGGGCAAAGUUAUUUAUGACAACUUGUAUAUACAUGUUUCGUUUGUUUCGAUGCUUUUUCCGAGUACUUAUUUAUAUAUAUAAGUAAACAUAUCUUCAUGUGUGAAAAAUAUCAUUGAAAAUAGCUUUUAUCUUGACAUGCC